AGAAAUCAAACGAGAUGCCCACAGUAGCGGCGAGCGAAGAGGGCAGAGCCCAAACCUGUAAGCUACGGCUUAUGGGGGUUGAGGACUGACGGAAUUAAGGCCAGGCUUAGCUGAACUACCUGGGAAGGUAGGCGAUAGAAGGUAAGAGCCCUGUAAGCGAAAGGCAGAGCCUUAAGGUCAGUAUCCAGAGUACCACGGAGCACGAGGAAUUCUGUGGGAAGCAGGGGGGACCACCCUCCAAGGCUAAAGACUAACUGGCGACCGAUAGCGCAUAGUACCGUGAGGGAAAGGUGAAAAGAACCCCGGGAGGGGAGUGAAAUAGUACCUGAAACCGUAUGUCUACAAGCAGUCGGAGCGAAAGCGACGGCGUGCCUAUUGAAGAAUGAACCAACGAGUUAUCUGCACUAGCGAGGUUAAGUGGAAGACACGGAGCCGUAGCGAAAGCGAGUCUGAAAAGGGCGGAUAGUUAGUGUAGGUAGACCCGAAACCGCAGUGAUCUACCCAUGUCCAGGUUGAAGCGCAGGUAAAAAUGCGUGGAGGACCGAACCGGUGAGCGUUGAAAAGCUUUCGGAUGAGAUGUGGGUAGGGGUGAAAUUCCAAUCGAACGCGGAGAUAGCUGGUUCUCCCCGAAAUAGCUUUAGGGCUAGCCUCAGGUAGUAAGUAUAGGCGGUAGAGCACUGAUCGGGCUAGGGGCCAUAAAGGUUACCGAACCCUGUCAAACUCCGAAUGGAUAUACUGCAGAGCCUGGGAGUCAGACUACGAGUGAUAAGAUCCGUGGUCAAAAGGGAAACAGCCCAGACCACCGGCUAAGGUCCCAAAUGCCGUACUAAGUGGAAAAGGAUGUGGGGAUUCAUAAACAACCAGGAUGUUGGCUCAGAAGCAGCCACCAUUUAAAGAGUGCGUAAUAGCUCACUGGUCGAGAGUCCCUGCGCCGAAAAUUUCCGGGGCUAAAGUACGGAACCGAAGCCGUGGCUGUGUACGUAAGUGCACGGGGUAGGGGAGCGUUGCCACAGGGGUGAAGCUGGUCUGGAAGGACUGGUGGACUUGUGGGAAGUGAGAAUGUUGGUAUGAGUAGCGAAAAGAAAGGUGAGAAUCCUUUCCACCGAAAGCAUAAGGAUUCCUGAGCAACGAUCGUCGUCUCAGGGUAAGUCGGGACCUAAUCCGAGGCAAAGAGCGUAGGAGAUGGACAACAGGUUGAUAUUCCUGUACCGGCAGCAAUUGUUUGAGCGAAGGAGUGACACAGAAGGGCAGGCAGGCGCGAGACUGGAUUGUCGCGUGCAAGCGUGUAGGGUAGUGUACAGGCAAAUCCGUACACUGAAAGCCUGAGGCGUUACGCGGAGCGAGCAGAGAUGCGAGCGAAGCUGCUGAUCCCACACUGUCGAGAAAAGCUUCUAGUGAGAGAGCUGCCGCCCGUACCGUAAACCGACACAGGUAUGCGGGGAGAGAAUCCUAAGGUGCGCGGGAGAACCCUCGUUAAGGAACUCGGCAAAAUGUACCCGUAACUUCGGGAUAAGGGUAGCCGUCUUGGUGAAGGAGCUUGCCUCUAGAGCUAAAGGCGGUCGCAGAGAAGAGGCCCAAGCGACUGUUUACCACAAACACAGGUGCCUGCUAAAGCGAAAGCUGACGUAUAGGUGCUGACACCUGCCCAGUGCUGGAAGGUUAAGGAAGGAUGUCCGGGCAACCAAAGCAUUCGACCGAAGCCCCAGUGAACGGCGGCCGUAACUAUAACGGUCCUAAGGUAGCGAAAUUCCUUGUCGGGUAAGUUCCGACCCGCACGAAAGGUGUAACGAUUUGGGCACUGUCUCAACGAGGGACCCGGUGAAAUUGAAAUACCUGUGAAGAUGCAGGUUACCCGCGACUGGACAGAAAGACCCCAUGGAGCUUUACUGUAACCUGACAUUGGGUUUUGUUGUAUUACGUACAGGAUAGGUGGGAGGCUUGGAAGGCUGGACGCUAGUCUGGCUGGAGCCGGCGUUGGGAUACCACCCUUGAUACAACGGAAUUCUAACCGAGAGAGUAACGAAAUCCGGGACAGUGUCAGGCGGGCAGUUUGACUGGGGCGGUCGCCUCC
rnacentral:rRNA from 1 species